rnacentral:tRNA from 1 species
CCCUGUGUGGUGAAAACAGUUAACAUGCUUGGCUGUUAACCAAAAGGUUGGAAGUUGAAGUCCACCCAGAGGCA